UGCAGUCGAGCGGACAGAAGGGAGCUUGCUCCCGGAUGUUAGCGGCGGACGGGUGAGUAACACGUGGGUAACCUGCCUGUAAGACUGGGAUAACUCCGGGAAACCGGAGCUAAUACCGGAUAGUUCCUUGAACCGCAUGGUUCAAGGAUGAAAGACGGUUUCGGCUGUCACUUACAGAUGGACCCGCGGCGCAUUAGCUAGUUGGUGGGGUAAUGGCUCACCAAGGCGACGAUGCGUAGCCGACCUGAGAGGGUGAUCGGCCACACUGGGACUGAGACACGGCCCAGACUCCUACGGGAGGCAGCAGUAGGGAAUCUUCCGCAAUGGACGAAAGUCUGACGGAGCAACGCCGCGUGAGUGAUGAAGGUUUUCGGAUCGUAAAGCUCUGUUGUUAGGGAAGAACAAGUGCGAGAGUAACUGCUCGCACCUUGACGGUACCUAACCAGAAAGCCACGGCUAACUACGUGCCAGCAGCCGCGGUAAUACGUAGGUGGCAAGCGUUGUCCGGAAUUAUUGGGCGUAAAGGGCUCGCAGGCGGUUUCUUAAGUCUGAUGUGAAAGCCCCCGGCUCAACCGGGGAGGGUCAUUGGAAACUGGGAAACUUGAGUGCAGAAGAGGAGAGUGGAAUUCCACGUGUAGCGGUGAAAUGCGUAGAGAUGUGGAGGAACACCAGUGGCGAAGGCGACUCUCUGGUCUGUAACUGACGCUGAGGAGCGAAAGCGUGGGGAGCGAACAGGAUUAGAUACCCUGGUAGUCCACGCCGUAAACGAUGAGUGCUAAGUGUUAGGGGGUUUCCGCCCCUUAGUGCUGCAGCUAACGCAUUAAGCACUCCGCCUGGGGAGUACGGUCGCAAGACUGAAACUCAAAGGAAUUGAC
rnacentral:rRNA from 1 species